AAAGAAAAAAAAAACCUAAGUCGCUAUACCACCGUGAACUCGUCGCCGGCCACAAUCUCUACCUUCGUCGGCGUCAAUUUCUUGCUAAUAGCUGGGUCUUUCGACCUAGAUCUCGUUUCACGGUAUCUUUCAAGCUAGUUCUUCUUCCGCCUUAGACUCGUUCAACAUUGUUCUUCGUCAAUUUCAGGAGGACGAGCCACAGUAAAGGUUUCAAGCAGUAGAGAUAGUCAUCAAGAGAUCAACUGCUGUAAAGCUUUUUGUUUAAGGUACAACAUUGGAGUAUUCAAGAUCUUUUGGUUGAAAGGGUCGUCGUGAGAUCACAAUAAUCAGGCUAAUAAACAUACUACAAGUAAGUUCUCUCUAUCUAAUUUUAGUAUAUAUGUUUUAAGCUCUUUGUUUGUGAUUGUUUUGAUUGUUUUCUGGAUACAUAUAUGUGAAAAAUUCUUUAGCUAGUUUAGUCCUUUUAAAUUUUUAUACGAUUGCUUAUUGUUUUGUUGAUAUAUAUUAAAUAUUUCUUGUUUGAUUUUACUUAAGAGUUUAGUUUGAUACGUUAACUUUAAUUGUCUAGUUUUGUCAGAUUGAGUUUAGAUUUAUGCUAUUGCUUUCAUUGUUUGUGGAUACAUAUUAAAUGUUCUCUGUUUGUUGUUACUUCUG